UUUUAAUAUCGAUAUGAGAAUUAUGCAUUUUGUCUUCUUUUGUUGCCUCAAAUUGCUUCUUUUACUUUCACAUCACCUGCAUUGGCAGCAAAGCUUCAAACAUCAGGGGAUUGAGGAGGCAAAUGCUCUUCUACAGACACAGAUAUGAUUCUAGACAAUUCCUUGCAUUUAAAAAAACCGACCACUACAAUACAUUUCCAGAAAAAAAAUCAGCGAACAAUAUCAGACUUCAGUAUGCAUAUCAUGAUUGUAUCAGAGAAUUGCUUGCUUCAG